rnacentral:rRNA from 1 species
UACGUAGGGGGCUAGCGUUGUCCGGAAUCAUUGGGCGUAAAGCGCGCGUAGGCGGCCAGAUAAGUCCGGUGUGAAAGUCACAGGCUCAACCUGUGAAUGCCGCUGGAAACUGUCUGGCUAGAGUCCGGAAGGGGCGAGUGGAAUUCCUGGUGUAGCGGUGAAAUGCGCAGAUAUCAGGAGGAAUACCGAUGGCGAAGGCAGGUCUCUGGGCUGACACUGACGCUCACGCACGAAAGCGUGGGGAGCAAACAGG